UCUCCCCCGGAUCCGAUGGUUGCUUUCCGUCGAAGGGUAGAUUCGUCGUCGUUUGUUGUGAAGAGUUUGAAACGGCCGAGUAAGUUUGUUCGCGAGUAUCUUCCGCAUCGUGCAUUCCUCCCACGCCCCCGUGCGACUCAUCCUGCUGAUCUUCGGGCGACUAUGCGGGCGGGGUCGAACCCUACCGUGGGUCUUGAGAAGUCGAAAUUGGCGUUGGAGUUCCAACUUUAUCCUCCCUCGGGUUGAACUGUUGGCGACGCCGGCAGCGUUUGCUGAAGUUGGGGCUGCCAGUGGGUCUGGUUUCAGUCCCCCCACAUUUUAACUGUGGAAUGCGUAACUGGGGUAAUUCCGGUGCUUGCGGUGUGUUAUAAAUGUGAUGUAAAGCACCGGUCCGCCGGGAUUAUCUCAUGUGGACGCCUGUGGCGGUCUGUUGCGAGCCAUUGGUUGAAAACCAGCUGUAGUUGAUUUAAAUUUUGUGUUCGAGUUUGUACAUGAGGUGAGCUAUUUACGAAGUUUCCUAUUUGGAGGUGUGGUUGCUUUGCCAACCUUGUGCCGUUUGGUACUUCACUGGAUGAUCAGUUCCAGGAGGUGUUUCCAAGCUUCGCCAUGAGCACACAUCACAGGUCAAUGUUUUGGAAGAUCUGGCACCAAACCACAGCUGACAUUGUCAAGUCGGAAGGGGCGAUUUCCUUAAAUGUUCCAACUUGAACGCGAGCAAAAUAAUUCAUGACCAAAUAUGAUAGCACAAACCCAUUUUAAAAACUUCUGAUUGCCGUGGAAGGAUAAAAUGAUUGACUUCGUGUUACUGAAAUUCGGACAAGAAACUGGAGUCCGAGGGUGCGACCAUUAGCCAGCCCUCCCUUCAAACACUUCCAGCCUUUGCCGACGUUUGUUGUAACUUAUUCAAACAGUACUUGGGCAGUUGUUACCUACCCAAGUAAGAAUUAGUCUGUUGGGAUGAGAAAGAAUCGGCGUCUCAUAAAGAUGAGCAGCUGAAAAAUAUGUUCCAAAAUGCCCCUCUAAAACACAUUAUAUAGCGAUUCAAAGAUUGUGAUUGUGUUUACCUGUUGUAAUCCAAUACGUUACCGUAAGUAACAGAGAUGUGAUUGGCACUCAUUUGCUAACUUGAGUUGGUUAUCGUCACGUGCCUCCUUUAAUAUAAUACCUUUGUCACAGAAACUCAA